GACGAACGCUGGCGGCGUGCUUAACACAUGCAAGUCGAACGGAAAGGCCUCUUUCGGGGGGUACUCGAGUGGCGAACGGGUGAGUAACACGUGAGUAACCUGCCCUUGACUUUGGGAUAACUUCAGGAAACUGGGGCUAAUACCGGAUAGGAGCUCCUGCUGCAUGGUGGGGGUUGGAAAGUUUCGGCGGUUGGGGAUGGACUCGCGGCUUAUCAGCUUGUUGGUGGGGUAGUGGCUUACCAAGGCUUUGACGGGUAGCCGGCCUGAGAGGGUGACCGGCAACAUUGGGACUGAGAUACGGCCCAGACUCCUACGGGAGGAAGCAGUGGGGAAUAUUGCACAAUGGGUGGAAGCCUGAUGCAGCAACGCCGUGUGCGGGAUGACGGCCUUCGGGUUGUAAACCGCUUUCGCUCAUGACGAAGCUUUGUGUGACGGUAGUGGGUAAAGAAGCACCGGCUAACUACGUG
rnacentral:rRNA from 1 species